rnacentral:rRNA from 1 species
CCUACGGGUGGCAGCAGUGGGGGAUAUUGCACAAUGGGGGAAACCCUGAUGCAGCGACGCCGCGUGUGGGAAGACGGUCCUCUGGAUUGUAAACCACUGUCCCCAGGGACGAAGAUGACAGUACCUGACUAAGAAGCCCCGGCUAACUACGUGCCAGCAGCCGCGGUAAUACGUAGGGGGCAAGCGUUAUCCGGAUUUACUGGGUGUAAAGGGAGCGUAGGUGGCAUGGCAAGCCAGAAGUGAAAACCCGGGGCUUAACCCCGCGGAUUGCUUUUGGAACUGUCAGGCUGGAGUGCAGGAGGGGCAGGCGGAAUUCCUGGUGUAGCGGUGAAAUGCGUAGAUAUCAGGAGGAACACCGGUGGCGAAGGCGGCCUGCUGGACUGUAACUGACACUGAGGCUCGAAAGCGUGGGGAGCAAACAGGAUUAGAUACCCCAGUAGUC